AUUGAACGCUGGCGGCAUGCUUUACACAUGCAAGUCGAACGGCAGCGCGGGCUUCGGCCUGGCGGCGAGUGGCGAACGGGUGAGUAAUGCAUCGGAACGUGCCCAGUAGUGGGGGAUAGCCCGGCGAAAGCCGGAUUAAUACCGCAUACGACCUGAGGGUGAAAGCGGGGGACCGAAGGGCCUCGCGCUAUUGGAGCGGCCGAUGUCGGAUUAGCUAGUUGGUGGGGUAAAGGCUUACCAAGGCGACGAUCCGUAGCUGGUCUGAGAGGACGACCAGCCACACUGGGACUGAGACACGGCCCAGACUCCUACGGGAGGCAGCAGUGGGGAAUUUUGGACAAUGGGGGCAACCCUGAUCCAGCCAUGCCGCGCGCGGGAAGAAGGCCUUCGGGUUGUAAACCGCUUUUGUUCGGGAAGAAAUCCUCUGGGCUAAUACCCCGGGGGGAUGACGGUACCGGAAGAAUAAGCACCGGCUAACUACGUG
rnacentral:rRNA from 1 species